GCUGUGGAUCAGCAGUAGAAUAUUUGCUUGGCAUGCAGAAGGCCCCAGGUUCGAUCCCUGGCAUCUCCA
rnacentral:tRNA from 1 species